ensembl:rRNA 5S_rRNA 5S ribosomal RNA
UACCACAGCCAUAUCACGCUGCAGCCUAAGACCAGUUACUCACUGAAGAUAAGCAGGGCUGAGCCUGGUCAGAACCUGGAUGGGAGACCAAAUGGGAAAAGUAGGUUGGUGCCAGAA